CCUCACUGAUGGACAUUGGGGGCUUUGAAUUGGUGACCAUAGAACAAGAAUCCUCUUCAUGAUGUGUGAUGUUUGUUAAUUCCCCCCCCCCCCGCCUAUUAUUUCAAGUCCUUUGCAGUGAAGAUCAGAGAUCCUGAGAUAAAGAGGCAUCCAUCAAAUCUCCCUCAAGAACUGUUUUUCAGGAGGAUCUGUCAGGAAGUUCUAACUCAGGACACCUCAGGAGGAAAGAGUAGAAAGAAGUUGACUCUUCCUUAUGGUGGAUCUGAAUCAGUGAUUGAACCUCCAACUCAGGAGGGCCUUGUCUCCUUCGAGGAGGUGGCUGUGUAUUUCUCCGAGGAGGAAUGGUGUGAGCUUGAUCCUGACCAAAAAGCACUGUAUUGGGAAGUCAUGAUGGAAAAUUAUAAGAACGUGAUCACUCUUG